ACAUGUCGAAAUCGAUAUUUAUGUAAAAAUACAGUAUCAAACAGAAUCGAAGCCAGUAUUUUAUUACAGUUACAGAAUCAUCGAGACAUAGAAAAUACAUCAUUAAUCUUUUACUACAUUUUUUUAUUCUUUCUUUUCUUUCCACUACUUUUGCUCCCCACUUCAUUUUGCCACUAACUCCACUUUUUCACUAUCACCAUUAUCAUCAAUCUUCCCACUAAACUUUGUUUCCAUUUUCUUUAAACCACAAUCAUCUCCACCAUUAUCAUCAAUCAAGCAACGUCAACCAAUGUAUCAGCCAACAUUAUAAUCUUCACUCAUUUCUUUAACACCAGAACCAGAAAAAUUGAAGGAGAUAGAGUUGUAAAAUUUCUGCCAACUUCAAAGGAGGUAAGCUUUGGCUUGAACUUCUCCAUCUUUUUCCAUGAUUUAACCUGCAAUUACUGAAACAACAAUACCAAUUUUCAGCUCAAUUCAUUCAACUCAACAACAACAAACCAACAAGAUACUCAAGGUAUUAAUUCUAUACCAAAUAUCCAUUUCAGUUCACAUACAUACACCAUUGUAUCCAUUAUGCAGCGGCGCAUUUCAGUUCAUUGCUAAACAUUGUAGACAUUUCAGUUCAUUGCUAAACAUUGUAGACAUUUCAGUUCGCUCCAUUUCAGUUCGCAUGAUCAGUAUCUUAUGAUAAAAAAAAAAAACCAUUGUAGACAUAAUGGAUUAGCAAGCUGCAUUCUUUAUAGUACAAACACCAACUACAUCAUGAUUCAUCCAUUGCUACUUCACG
rnacentral:lncRNA from 1 species